UGUUAAUACGUUUUUUUCGAUGGUAAAGGAAAUUCUGUUCCGUCUGAUUAAAGUUCAUAUUAAAUAUCACUAAUCAAUAGCAGUAACGUUUUAAAUAAAUAUUCAAGGUGUAUUAAAUGUUACGGUAAUUCUAUAUACAGAAUCAACAACACUGCUACUGAUGAACCCACAUAUGGCACAACAGAGUGGGAACGCUCAUCUAAAGCGUGAUGGGCUUUAUCGCGAGUAGCAUUUCAAUCACAAGACAAAAAUGAGGAUACUGUUAAUUUACCUAGAUAAUCAAAUAAUGGUGAAAAGUAAGAAGUUAUUAUCAACAUUUUUUUUUAAUUUUUUUUUUUUAGAUUUCUACAAUUUGUAAACAACUAUUCGGAAGUGACUGGAUACGUUCAUCCUUAUUUAUAACAGCUUGUAUCGGGAUCUGCCUUCAAACAGUUUGUUGCCACGUUUUCUUGCAGACAAAAGAAUAGUUUAGAUAGGGCCAUGGCAAUUCAUUAAGCCGUCUCGCUCAUAGAUUUGCAGAACCUGCAGUUACUAGUGAUAUUUUUUUCCGGCCUACAUGUAUUUGACGCUUGUGUCAAUACGUUUUCUGGUGAUGUAAUUGAUGUAGACUUCGUGUGUGCUUCGUGUUCAGACCACAGUACUUAGACUAAUGCACUCCGUGACACAGGACAGGUUAUCAGUAUGUGAGGUGAGGAGUUUAAUGUGACAACGUCCGUAUGGAGAUUAGGCAAACCAGGCACCAUGAACAAGUUACAAAAACCGUAGAGAGAUUAAAUUGUAUAUAAUUUUUUGUUUGCAAAAUGGGAUCGCAGUGUCUUUCGAUUGGUACAAUUAGUAAGCUGUCAAGGGGCAUCAUAUACAAUUGUACUUUCAUUUUUGAAUCACUAUGUAUCAAUGAAACCAGGUUUAUGGUUAUGUAUACAAUCAGACGGAAAUCGACACACGAGGUACAUGAAAUGAGAUUAAUAAACCCCAGGAUGUGAAACCCGGAAGCAGUUUACUCUGUGAUUGCGCAGGUGUAUAAAUAUCUAGCUGUUGCAUGCAUAUGACUGGCUAAAACCAAGAGUGAAAUUAUUAGGAAUGAAAAGAAAUAGCAUAGGGAUUUGGAUUAAUUUUUGGGAUGAAAAAAUAUCGCACAGAAUUGAGAAAUGACUGAGGAAAUCACUGUAGUUGGGAUGUGUUUGAGAGGAAACAAUGGGACCCUGUAUAUUCUUUGUGGUUUGAAUUCUAAUUUGCGCUUGGAAUGAAUUUUCAAUGGUUGGCGUGGAUUUGUCUAAAAUCAAUAUAAUUAAUAAGUGAGAGGUUGGUAUUAAGGUCUAUGGAAAUGAAUUGGUACUCUUUCCCCAUAUGUACGAGACACACGACGAGCUCCCAGUGAUCAGGCUGAGUUACAAUGGGAACCCUGAAGAAUAUAGUGCAGAUCAUCAGAAAGUGUUUGGUUUGCUUUGUGGAUUGAAUCUCGGGUUAAUUCUAUAAAAAUAAGGGGAAACUCUUAAACUCAGCAAUCCGCCAUAUCAAAUACGAGAAGACAUUACUUUGUAUCUAUCAAACUGCCAUCAUCAUAACAAUAUAUUGCACGCAAUAAAAUCUAAUUUACAUGUUAACUACAAAAUUGUAACAGGGUGUUGAUUGCGAAUAGUUAAUGAUGACCAACUCCUGUUGAGGUUCUGAACAAGGCGCUUAUUCAGCAAAGUAUAUAUAAAGUUGCUUGAAAAGAAAGCCCUGUAACAAUUGUAUAACAAUAAUCAAACAUAUGUAUAAAUCAUAAAAUACAAUAUUAUUUUUUACAGACUAAUUGAUAUCAAUAUUUUCAAUUGAGCGUUAACAAGAUUUCAUUGACGUAUUUACUCAUGAUUAAUUUUUCUUCAUAAACGUUAAUGUAAAAUCAAUGAUUUAUUUAGAUUUAUGCAUGAUAGGAAUAUAAAUUUUGUUGGAGUCUUUUCCUAUAGUUAUUGUAAAAAAUCCUGUUAAAAAUAAAAUAUUUCAAAAGUCUAAGUUGUAGAUGAAUAAUCAAUGAUACGUUUCAAAUUAUUGAAUCCAAGGGCAAUAACUCUGUUUCUAUUGAUUUCUUUAUCAAGUCUAUUAUGCGAUGAUUUCCUUAAUUGUUUACAGAAAUUUUGUAUAUUUUUGUGAAGAUACAGUUUCAUGAAAUUGUUAUUAAUGCUACUAUAUCGUCAUAACCAGUUGGUAUGGAAUUUUAAUAACGCUGUUUAAGGAAAAUUGCAAUUUUCUGACAGUGAUAUAUGAUUUUGUUUAUGUACGUCUCACAUCUUAAAAAGUGUGAUGACCUAUGUAUCUUAUUUAUUAAUUUGUUAGUUUUAACUCUAAUGAAUGGAAAUAAAUACAAAUUUUAAGCUUGUAUCAGACAAAACUGCGAAUAUGGAGUUACCUUAAAUUACAUGUACAUGACGUUUCCAACGAGAGUUGGUACUUUCUGUUUAGCAUAAAAUCGAUGUCCGUGAAAUUAUAUUCUAACAAUCCAUGAUUAUCAAUCACACCCAUUGCAAAGCAUAAACUACUACAAUUUAUGAUAAUUGAUGUAAUUGUAUGCAACAUUUACUAUUAUUAUUAUGUGACUAUCUCUACAUGAAAAGGCCAAACCGUUUCCCUAUUGAGCAGGUUUACGCGGUAAGCAUCAAAAGAUUGCACGGACGCCUCGAUCGUCAGAUUAGGUAGAUAAGGAAUAUACAAGGACUAGUAACUAAAUGUCCAUCGAUUUCUAGCAUCUAAUCUUAAGCUUGAUUUUUCCUGAUUGACAGGGGUUAACCGACCAGGUAAAUUUGAAGGCGUUGCUUAUUUUCUCGGUCUUUAAUUUCCGCAGUUCCCGCUGUAGCAGUGGAAAUUGCCACAAGACUGUAUUACAUGUAUUAUGGAGUUAAAAACAACAGAUGUUCUCAGAGUCAUUACAGACAAAACAGUUAUAAAUCUAAAUGUAUCAAUGUCCUGUAUUAAAAUUAACAACAUAUGCACUGCCUGAUUUGACUGCACGACUGCCGUUACACAAGGAUACCGAUUGUCGCCUACUUUAUUCUCAAUAUUUGUAAUUUGCUUGGUUAAAGAAAUCAUUUAAUAUCUUUUUAAAGUGAUGACUUAACAAUGAUGCUGAUUGAAUGAAAAAUUCGCUUGAAUUCGUAGUAAAAAAAAAAUAACCUUCCGGUGUUCAUCUGCACUAACCACGCGGGACUACUUUUCUCUGGAAUGCGUCUUCCCCGUUCUAAUUUUAACACUAUUUAUGGAAUGGGAAUUUCCAACACAAGCAUUGUAAACGAAAUGUAUUCGUUUGAUUUAUUUCAUUGCUACCAAAAAUAAACGCAACCAAAGAUAUAGAUAAAAUACAAAAUUGAUUUAAAGAAACAAAUCACAUAGUGAUUACGUGGCAGAAUAGUCAACUUGAUGAAGUAGACCACUGACUGGUAGAAGCAGAGAUAUACACGAGUUCCCGGUAUGUAUCGUCUGCUUUACGGAUUCGAUAACAUGACGGGGGAAAGGGCGACUUUUGAUCUUGCAUCGUCGGAAACCCACGGUUGAUUACACUGCGUUCCUCUCUACAUCACCCAUGGGUCCAUUCAUUCCUACUCGCUUGUUCUCAUGAAUAAAUAUUUAAAAAUAUCGUCCAAUCAAAGUAAUCGUUAUAGUAACGGAACUUUUCUACUUUUCUGCUUUUAAAGGUACCAUCAACUAAACUUUGCUAUCACAAGAAUUGUAUACCGAAAUUGGGCUGAAAGCGUCUUGUUGAUUGGACAAAUUCGCUCAGGGAUCACAGUCCCCCAUGACACCUCAUCCAUUCCCCUCUCUUUGGCUACACCAAUGAAUAUACCCAUUUUAUGUUUGUAAGGUUGCAUUGUACAUAACUUUGACACAUUGGAUCUUUAAUGUGUCUUUUGAUUAUAGUAAUAAAUAUUACAUGCUAUAAAAUGUCAUGUAUUUUAGGGCACGCUAGUCUUGUAGGAAUACAAACAGGGAACAUUGUUAAUGCAACGACCAAAAAGUGCAGCACCUGCCACUACUACUCCGGGAGGAGCGAGACAGUCCCUAACCACAAUUGUAACUCAAACUGGAGAGUAAACCCAUGGAGCCAAAGGUUAUGAAGUUAAAACUUUUCAUGGGGACAGUGACUCUACAACAAUGGCCAGAAUAAAACCAGAUUUCAAAGAAUUGAAGAAGAAAAAUUGACAAAAAUUACUUUAAGAAGAAUAUUUCCAAGUACCUUUAUAAACUUUCUCACAAACACAAAGAACUGAAGCCAUGCAGCAGGAAUAAUUCCUUAUUUAGCCCGUUGCUGUAUGUACCCAAUAUCCAGCAAGUGUGCUACAGCAAAGGGAUCUUGUAGAAGAGUUGGAGAUAAUUGUACCACAUGUGUAUGGAGACCACUCUCAUUGUCAUUCUGCAUCCUAGUGCACUGAUCACAAGUCACCAUUAACUUACAGGUACAAGCAUCUAACACAAGGUAAACCAUUCCAUGAGGAGGCAUUGGAGAUUGGUUGGACUGAGAUCACCAAAAAUUCCAGAAUAGGACAUUAGAGGCAAAUGAAUAUUUUAGCUACAUUGUUGCAACUUAAACACCAAAGAAUAGGUCCAAGGGCCAUAACUAAAUGAAAAAUCAACGGACCGAGACGAACUUCAAACUUGAUCUGUAACUUGUUAUGGCAAAGCCACAUACCAAAUAUGAAAUAGAUAUCUGCAAGAACAGAGAAAAAAGUGCGGAAAACUGGACUGACAGACAGAGCGCAAACCUAAAGUUAAAGUCCCCUCGACUUAAUCGGUCCAAGGGCCAUAACUAAAUGAAAAAUCAACGGACCGAGACGAACUUCAAACUUGAUCUGUAACUUGUUAUGGCAAAGCCACAUACCAAAUAUGAAAUAGAUAUCUGCAAGAACAGAGAAAAAAGUGCGGAAAACUGGACUGACAGACAGAGCGCAAACCUAAAGUUAAAGUCCCCUCGACUUAAUCGGUAGGGGAUUAAUAAGAAA